GUAAUUAUCCAGUUGAUAUUUAUCUUGUUCCAGUCACCUUAAGAAAGCUGUUUGGCAAGGGCAGUGACUGGAAGCUGGGAGAGAGGGUCAACAGCUGAAUCU
rnacentral:antisense_RNA from 1 species